UACGGAGAGGGCUAGCGUUAUUCGGAAUUAUUGGGCGUAAAGGGCGCGUAGGCUGGUUAAUAAGUUAAAAGUGAAAUCCCGAGGCUUAACCUUGGAAUUGCUUUUAAAACUAUUAAUCUAGAGAUUGAAAGAGGAUAGAGGAAUUCCUGAUGUAGAGGUAAAAUUCGUAAAUAUUAGGAGGAACACCAGUGGCGAAGGCGUCUAUCUGGUUCAAAUCUGACUCUGAAGCGCGAAGGCGUGGGGAGCAAACAGG
rnacentral:rRNA from 1 species